CCUACGGGCGGCAGCAGUGGGGAAUAUUGCACAAUGGGCGCAAGCCUGAUGCAGCCAUGCCGCGUGUGUGAAGAAGGCCUUCGGGUUGUAAAGCACUUUCAGCGGGGAGGAAGGCGGUGAGGUUAAUAACCUCAUCGAUUGACGUUACCCGCAGAAGAAGCACCGGCUAACUCCGUGCCAGCAGCCGCGGUAAUACGGAGGGUGCAAGCGUUAAUCGGAAUUACUGGGCGUAAAGCGCACGCAGGCGGUCUGUCAAGUCGGGUGUGAAAUCCCCGGGCUCAACCUGGGAACUGCAUUCGAAACUGGCAGGCUAGAGUCUUGUAGAGGGGGGUAGAAUUCCAGGUGUAGCGGUGAAAUGCGUAGAGAGCUGGAGGAAUACCGGUGGCGAAGGCGGCCCCCUGGACAAAGACUGACGCUCAGGUGCGAAAGCGUGGGGAGCAAACAGGAUAGAUACCCGGGUAGUC
rnacentral:rRNA from 1 species